rnacentral:rRNA from 1 species
UGCGCAGGCGGUUCCAUAAGACAGAUGUGAAAUCCCCGGGCUCAACCUGGGAACUGCAUUUGUGACUGUGGAGCUAGAGUACGGUAGAGGGGGAUGGAAUUCCGCGUGUAGCAGUGAAAUGCGUAGAUAUGCGGAGGAACACCAAUGGCGAAGGCAAUCCCCUGGACCUGUACUGACGCUCAUGCACGAAAGCGUGGGAGCAAACA